AUCAGGGGUAAACCUGUGGAACUCGAACGAACGAACGGGGAGGUUCACCGUAUUUCCGUAGGUACGCGGCGCGACGCGCCGCGCCCCGUCGAAACGUUCGCGCGUAAGCGUCGAGCGUUUCGCGGGCGCGGCACGCGUCGCGUCGUCGCACGGCCCGCGGAGUGCGUGCACUUCUCCCUUAGUAAAACACCGCGACCCGUUCGCACGAGUGUGCGUGUGCGAUCUAACGCGUCGUGCGGUUGACCCGUUUCGAACGUAAAAAAUUCGGGACGGAGUCGCGACGUUUCGCGAUCGCCGUCGGACGGUAAAGCACGAGGUUCACGUUCGCCGCGUAUUGUGGUGGUGCGGCGUGCGGCUCCCUUCGCGGGGUGUCGCGCGUCGCCGAGCAGGCGUCCGUGACGCGUACCGAACGGACCGCGUUCGGACCCCGGCGUUUCUAGCGUCGCGGGCUUCGAGCGUUCGCGUGCGGCGCGCGUGCGUUUCGGCGCGCGCGCGUCGUUCGCGUCACGCGUCCGUUCGUUGUGUAUGGCGCGUCGUCUCGGACGGAACGCGUCCCGGUCCGCGGUGGUUUUGUUUCGGGCACUCACAGGACCC
rnacentral:rRNA from 1 species